UACGUAGGGUGCGAGCGUUGUCCGGAAUUAUUGGGCGUAAAGAGCUUGUAGGCGGUUUGUCGCGUCUGCUGUGAAAUCUCAAGGCUCAACCUUGAGCUUGCAGUUGGUACGGGCAGACUAGAGUGUGGUAGGGGAGACUGGAAUUCCUGGUGUAGCGGUGAAAUGCGCAGAUAUCAGGAGGAACACCGAUGGCGAAGGCAGGUCUCUGGGCCACUACUGACGCUGAGAAGCGAAAGCAUGGGGAGCGAACAGG
rnacentral:rRNA from 1 species